ensembl:lncRNA novel transcript, antisense to VAC14
AAUAGCUACAAAAUGGAAAUAACCCAAAGGCCCUGCAGUGGAGACAAGGAGAAAUGGAACGUGGCACAUCCACACCAGGGAAUAUUAUUUGGUAAUAAAAAGAAAUGAAGUACCUGCUACACGUGGAUGAACCUUGAAAACACCUGCCGAGAAGCCAGCCACAAAGUCCACAUCCUGUAUGAUGACUCCAUUAACAGCCCGAGGUGGUGGGGUCUCACCCACUCCCUGGUGUCUCUCGCCUGAUCCAGGGGAGAGGAGGAGCACGGUGAGGAGAUCUGUGUCUCUUUACAUCACUUUGCCCCCUCGCCCCCAUGCUGCCCAUCCCACCCAGGUCUGUCUGCACAGGGGGACAGAGGCACACACCUCUGGGCGGCCAACACUGGUGGCCACGUGCAGCAGGGGAGGAAAGUGAGGAGAAAGUGUGAUCCAGCGGGGCGGCUGGGGCCAGGCCAGCACUCGGCAAGAUCCCUGUGCCAUGGGGACAAACUGAUUCAUGCUGGGUAUCCGGCAGGUACCUACUUCCCUGUCAGAACAGAGGCCUGGAAAAAGCC